UAUUUUUUGGAUAGAUAUUUAAAUAAUCUUCUUAUUGGAGGCAUCGCUUUUUGUUGGUGAUCUAGUAUUUGAUAUCAGUUCCAAACUUGACCAACAUACUCAAUCAUCUCCCACACAUAAUCCCAAAGUUGGGUUAUCUCCAAUGGAAGUAU
rnacentral:tRNA from 1 species